rnacentral:rRNA from 1 species
GAUGAACGCUAGCUACAGGCUUAACACAUGCAAGUCGAGGGGUAACGAGAGGAAAGCUUGCUUUCCUUGUCGACGACCGGCGCACGGGGGAGUAACGCGUAUCCAACCUGCCCCCAACUAAGGAAUAACCUUGCGAAAGUAAGACUAAUACCUUAUAAUUUCCUCAGAUGUCAUCUGACGAGGAAUAAAGAUUUAUCGGUUGUGGAUGGGGAUGCGUCUGAUUAGCUUGUUGGCGGGGUAACGGCCCACCAAGGCAACGGUCAGUCGGGGUUCUGGGGGGAAGGUCCACCACAUUGGAACUGAUACACGGUCCAACCUCGUACGGGAGGCAGCAGUGAGGAAGAUUGGUCCAUGGGCGGAAGCUUGAACCAGCCAAGUAGCGUGCAGGAGGACGGCCGUAUGGGUUGUAAACUGCUUUUAUACAGGAAUAAAGUUAGCUACGUGUGGUUAUUUGUAGGUACUGUAUGAAUAAGGACAGGCUAAUUCCGUGCCAGCCGCCGCGGUAAGAC